UUCGGAAUUACUGGGCGUAAAGGGCUCGUAGGCGGCCAACUAAGUCAGACGUGAAAUCCCUCGGCUUAACCGGGGAACUGCGUCUGAUACUGGAUGGCUUGAGAUUGGGAGAGGGAUGCGGAAUUCCAGGUGUAGCGGUGAAAUGCGUAGAUAUCUGGAGGAACACCGGUGGCGAAGGCGGCAUCCUGGACCAACACUGACGCUGAGGAGCGAAAGCGUGGGGAGCAAACAGG
rnacentral:rRNA from 1 species